rnacentral:lncRNA from 1 species
AGGGUUAAUGUCAUCACCUGUAAGGGGGUUCUUCCAUUGACGGAGAGGCGGACCAAAGCGCAGCGUGGUUAUUUUGAUUCAUGUUUUAAUAAAUCACUUCACAUGAACAAACUAACAAAAACAAAAAACAUGAAAACUCAAAACAGCCCUAUCUGGUGCAAAACACAGAGACAGGAACAAUCACCCACAAACAGCCCUAUCUGGUGCAAAACACAGAGACAGGAACAAUCACCCACAAACAGCCCUAUCUGGUGCAAAACACAGAGACAGGAACAAUCACCCACAAACAGCCCUAUCUGGUGCAGAACACAGAGACAGGAACAAUCACCCCAAACAGCCCAUCUGGUGCAAACAGAGACAGGAACAAUCACCCACAAAGCCCUAUCGGUGCAGAACACGAGAGACAGAAACAAUCACCCACAAACAGCCUAUCUGGUGCAGAACACAGCAGGAAC